GAUUUCUGAAGAAAUAUUUCCAAUUUUAUAAACAAGCUGUCAGGAAGUUUGCUUUAAAUUUUAAGUUAACCUAUAGGGUUAAGCUAACCCAGCUUUGACCAACUGGCCCCUGGAAUGUAUGUCACGAGUUUUCCUACUUCUUUUGGUUGACACUCCUUAGAUCGGCCGCGAGGCAUAUAUGCAUGAUCACAUGAAUAUACUUAUCCCUCACAUGCAGAUUAACUUUGACUUUGAGACGGAAAUUCAUCAAAUUCUCAAAAAUAUUAUGUAAACAGUCACACUUAUUUAUUUAGUUAAACUUUCAUUGUACAAUGCUUAAAAAUUAUAGCUAUAUAUGUAAAGUUCACGUACAAUGGGCCUAUCGCAGGUUUACAGACAGUAAAGUAAAACGUUAUAGAUAUAAAAGUAUCAAUAAAAUUAAAUAGCAGCACUGACGAAAGGACAUGAAGGCUUUCGAGCGUUAGCAAUUAGCAAUUUUUGGGCAAUUAUAUAGUUAACUUCUCUCAUUUUGGGUGGCAGACAAAGGAUGACAACAGCGAAGGAGUUAUUUAUACUUGUAAAAAAUAGUACCAUAUUUUACCAUCCAAUAAAAAUGGUGAACAUAAAAGAGUUUAUGUUUUCUUGUAUCUCAUAUCAUUGGACGAGAGAAAUCAGUGGCGUAACGCAACCGCUGGGGGCCCUCCGUCAAUCGGCCACUUUGGGCCGCCUUUGCUCCACUAAAAAUAUAAUAGGCUCCAAAAAUUUUUCUCGGAACAAUUUAUUUUUGGC